UCUGGUGCCAGCAGCCGCGGUAAAACCAGCACCUCAAGUGGUCAGGAUGAUUAUUGGGCCUAAAGCAUCCGUAGCCGGCUCUGUAAGUUUUCGGUUAAAUCUGUAUGCUCAACAUACAGGCUGCCGGGAAUACUGCAGAGCUAGGGAGUGGGAGAGGUAGACGGUACUCGGUAGGAAGGGGUAAAAUCCUUUGGUCUAUUGAUGACCACCUGUGGCGAAGGCGGUCUACCAGAACACGUCCGACGGUGAGGGAUGAAAGCUGGGGGAGCAAACCGGAUUAGAUACCCGGGUAGUCCCAGCUGUAAACUAUGCAAACUCAGUGAUGCAUUGGCUUGUGGCCAAUGCAGUGCUGCAGGGAAGCCGUUAAGUUUGCCGCCUGGGAAGUACGUACGCAAGUAUGAAACUUAAAGGAAUUGGCGGGGGAGCACCACAAGGGGUGAAGCCUGCGGUUCAAUUGGAGUCAACGCCAGAAAUCUUACCCGGAGAGACAGCAGAAUGAAGGUCAAGCUGAAGACUUUACCAGACAAGCUGAGAGGUGGUGCAUGGCCGUUCUU
rnacentral:rRNA from 1 species